rnacentral:misc_RNA from 1 species
UUUCCGUAGGUGAACCUGCGGAAGGAUCAUUAAUGAGUUGUCAUGGGGUUCGAUGCUGGCAGCCAGUUUUUGGAUGCAUGUGCUUGCCCUAACAAUCAUCUUCUUCCAAACACCUGUGCACAUUUUUGAGGGAGUCUUGAGUUGGUUGCCGCUCUUGGGUGAUUUUCUCACAUUCCCUUAAAUCAUUAUACGCUAUUAACAAUGUUGAACGUGCUCUGUGCCGCAAGGCCAUUAAUAUAAUACAACUUUUAACAACGGAUCUCUUGGCUCUCGCAUCGAUGAAAAACGCAGC